UAGGGAAUCUUCCGCAAUGGGCGAAAGCUUGACGGAGCAACGCCGCGUGAGUGAUGAAGGUCUUCGGAUCGUAAAACUCUGUUAUUAGGGAAGAACAAAUGUGUAAGUAACUAUGCACAUCUUGACGGUACCUAAUCAGAAAGCCACGGCUAACUACGUGCCAGCAGCCGCGGUAAUACGUAGGUGGCAAGCGUUAUCCGGAAUUAUUGGGCGUAAAGCGCGCGUAGGCGGUUUUUUAAGUCUGAUGUGAAAGCCCACGGCUCAACCGUGGAGGGUCAUUGGAAACUGGAAAACUUGAGUGCAGAAGAGGAAAGUGGAAUUCCAUGUGUAGCGGUGAAAUGCGCAGAGAUAUGGAGGAACACCAGUGGCGAAGGCGACUUUCUGGUCUGUAACUGACGCUGAUGUGCGAAAGCGUGGGGAUCAAACAGG
rnacentral:rRNA from 1 species